rnacentral:rRNA from 1 species
AAAUGAAUUGACGGGGGCCCGCACAAGCAGUGGAGUAUGUGGUUUAAUUCGAAGCAACGCGAAGAACCUUACCAGGGCUUGACAUCCCCUGACAGUACUGGAAACAGUAUUUUCCUACGGGACAGGGAGACAGGUGGUGCAUGGUUGUCGUCAGCUCGUGUCGUGAGAUGUUGGGUUAAGUCCCGCAACGAGCGCAACCCCUGUCGUUAGUUGCCAUCAAGUAAAGUUGGGCACUCUAGCGAGACUGCCGGUGAUAAAUCGGAGGAAGGUGGGGAUGAUGUCAAAUCAUCAUGCCCUUUAUGUCCUGGGCUACACACGUACUACAAUGGUCGGUACAACGGGAAGCAAAGUCGCGAGGCCGAGCGAAUCCCCAAAGCCGAUCCCAGUUCGGAUUGCAGGCUGCAACUCGCCUGCAUGAAGUUGGAAUUGCUAGUAAUGGCAGGUCAGCAUACUGCCGUGAAUACGUUCCCGGGCCUUGUACACACCGCCCGU